rnacentral:lncRNA from 1 species
UCAAAAUACUUUAGGAAUAGGGAGUCAGUGAAUAUACCUUUUCUGUUCUUGUUGUAUGAGAUUAAAGAUUUUGCAUGCUAUUUUAAUAUAGAAUAAUGUUGUCAGCCUGCAAUUGUUUAUACGACGUUGUGGUCCAUUACUAAAUAUCACCACCAAAUUGGAACAAUAGUUGGACAUUAAUUAUCUUCACCAAAUUGAGGGCAUCUGCCAUCUGUAGUCCAAAUUUGGAAUCCUGUUUUACUUAAAAGGUUAAACCCUAACCUUAAGGGUCUUCCACCACCCCUAUCCUCGAGCAUCGUGAGGGAGGUAAAUCGCAGAUUAUGCCUUCAAGAGUACAGGGUGGAAGGCUGGUUGUACACUUGCACUUACCCAAAAGUCAAAUCCAUAUUUUAGGAUUCGAACUCUUGACGCAGCAACCUCAAGUAAAGUUGGAUUUCUCUACCCUCCUCUUUUACCACUUAGAGAUGUACCCUGAGGGCGGAAUCCUGUUUUACUUGAUAAGCUAUUUGCUAUAUUAAGGGACAUAAAAAUUCUGAGAAUACUUUACUAUUUGCUAUUUGUUUUAAGUUUUAUUUAACAUAUUAUUCAAUAUUUUUGUGUAUAAUACUAUGUGUUAAAUAUG